UAACUACUCCCUCCGUCCAAAAGGGGUUGUCCCUCAAAUGGAUGUAUCUAGCACCAAGUUAGUGCUAGAUACAUCCAUUUGAGGGACAAGCUUGGGACAAGAUUUUUCGGAUGGAGGGAGUAUUAU
rfam:Triticum aestivum genome assembly, contig: Triticum_aestivum_CS42_TGACv1_scaffold_602556_7DL